AGGGGAGGAAAAUGACAGCUGGUGAGUCGGCGAGCUGGCGAGUUUGUUAAUGCAAUUUUCCCCUCCAUCGGUUGCUAUCGUCUCCAUAGUGCCAUAAUAUUUAUUAUUACGUGUUGAAAAUUCAAAAGGAACAUUUUCUGCAGAUACCAGCAACAACUUCGGAAUACAGGAUGCUGCUAUUCCACCACGCGAGAAACUAAUUGGAAAUAAAACAUUCCUUAUGUGAGGAUGACACAGGCGAUUGGGUAGCGCAGCUCAAGAUUCGUUCGGCUCGAAAAAGACCGUUUCAAUUACGGAGGAUAUUAUCGCGAAAACCGAUUUUUCCCUAAAUUUAUACGUCGAACCUAACGUCGGGCAUAGUGCGCUGAACAGCGGAUCUGGUGUGUUACACAGCGCACCUUGUCCGACGUAGCUCUGGUGCUUCUUCACAACGUGCAUUUUGAAGAUGGGAAUUUAAGCAAACCAAUCAUUUGCUAUUAUGGAGAAAUGUGAUAUUCCCGUGAAAUUCCAGUGGUAUUUAUGAAUUGUGUUGAAAGUGUACGAAUAAAAACUCUAUGUUAGAAAAGAAACUUAAAAUUACCAGAAUUGUGUGAAUGAGUACACCUUCAUUAUAUUUUUCUUCAAAACCCGGAGG